UUGAAUGGCGACAGAUGCACUGUAUUUCCCAAAGUUUGGAAAUAUAAGCAAUAAUUUUCCCAAAAAAAUCUUGCCUGAUUGAAUAUAUUGAACCUGCAUCUCAUAUGAUCAAAGAAUAUUAAGAAACAGCAUACUGAGCCGAGCAGUAGUGUCUCUUCAUCAUGGAUAAUCAUGGUCAGAAUAUGCAGCAACAUGGUAAAAGAUGCGUUUUAGUACUAUUUUCAUUGCCAUUCCAAGGAAAUAUAAAUCCCAUUAUUCAGCUGGCAAACAUCGUUCACCAUAAUGGUGUUGGGUUUAUGAUCCAAAUUAAGUCCAACAAGUGGUAUCAGAGCUUCGUUCUUCUUCUGAGGAUUGAUUGGGUUUUUAUUAAAGAUGACUACCAUGAAAUAUGACAUUCCGCUGUUGGAUCUCAAUACAAGGUUUUCUUUGUAGCAUGUAAAUAUGGGGUCUAUUCUGGCGCAGUUGAAUUUGGACAACAUGCUAUUGGGCUUUGAGAAGAUGUCAACUGAUUAGACAAUGAAGGAGAAACAAAGGAGGGAUCGGAAGGUUUUGUCGUUGAUUUAUCUUCAUCUAUCCAAUAAUAUUUUGAAGGAUGUAUUGAAGGAGAAAACAACAGCUACUUUGUGGUUGAAACUGGAGCAAUUAUGUAUGACCAAGAGUCUUAGCAAUAAACUGGCUCUAAAGCAGAAGUUGUAUUCACAUCGCAUGGCGAAAGGAGAGUAGUUGGAAGAUCAUAUUGUCGUGUUCAAGGAAAUCAUCGUAGAUUUGGAAACGUUGAAGGUUAAGUACGAUGAAGAGGAUCUUGCCUUGAUCCUGUUAUGUUCGCUGCCUGACUCUUAUGCAUCAUUUUGUGACACCAUUUUGUAUAGUAGAGAUACUUUGACUAUAGAUGACGUCUAUGAUGCUUUGCACUCAAAAGAGAAGUUGAAACAUUUGGUUGAGCUACAUCAAGGGAUGAGGAAGUUCAUAUAUCUCAUGGUGGUUGAUGGAGGGGCAGAUCGAAGAAUAACAGCAAUUUGCUUUGCUUUUACUGUAGACAUAAGGGACAUAUUCAAAAGGAUUGUGAUAAGAUGUAGGCUAAAAGUGAUUUAGCUGCAAAUUGUGGAGCGCAACCUUUGACUUCAGACAAAACAAAUGUAGUUGAGAAUUUUUCAAACGUCGGAGAUGUGAUGUUGAUCGUGAUUUCUGACGUGGAAUCUAGGCUUGACGAGGAGUGGAUUCUCGAUUCGGCGUGUUCGCAUCAUAUGUGUUCCAAUCGAAGUUUCUUUUAGACAUAUGAGGCUACUCAGCAAGGUAGUGUUGUAAUGAAAAAUAACUAGUCUUGUUGUAUUGUUGAGAUCAGUCGAGUCAGAUUUAGGUAGCAAGAUGGGACAGUCAGAACAAUUGAUCAGGUUCGACAUGUUCCAGACAUAAAAGUGAAUCUCAUCUCACUUAGUACUCUAGACGCAAAACGGUAUAAAUUCCCUGGUGGAGGUGGAGGUAGAGUUUGAAGGUCCGAAUGGGUGUUUGGGUUGCAUUGGAUGGACGGAAGAAGUCUCAUAUGUACAUCAUGCAGGGAAGCACGGAACCAGUUAAAAGACAUCGAGACAAGUUCAGUACCGUGGUAGAUAUUCAUUUUGGUACAGUAUAUAUUGUGAAGGGCUCUGGAUUGUUUCAGAACAUUGCUCAAGAAGCAUUAGUAAUUCCGCUUUGCCAACAAUUUCAGUGGAUACAUCGUGUUCAUUUGCUAGGGUUUGACUCAUAGAGCGUAGGUACCGUGGUGUCAAUAAAGACUGGAAUGCUUUUGGAGCCAUUGAAGGCGAUAGUUCUAGCAAUGGGUCUUCUAAUCGAGUAUGUGAUAUGGCUUCUGCUACAGGGUGUAUUUCAACCCUGUUUGGUUAACAGUAAUUCUUUAGUUGAAUUUUGGAAACUCAGGAUUUGGAGUCAGGUGUCGCUUGUAGAUGCCUUGCAGAGGACUAUGGUUUGGUUUGGAGAAUUUUGGUUACUGUAUUAAAGAGAUUGACUAUUUCGAUGCAAAUGGAUUUGAAAUCUUGGAGUUUCGUUCGUUGCACCGGAAUUUGGGUCAAUGUGGAAAUUGUUGGGUUUAUGACUCAAAUUAGGAUGGAUUUUUAUUUUUUUUUAUUUUUGAAAUAAAUGUUCCUUAUAUUUCGCAUGAUUUUCAUGGAAAUAUAUUAUUUUCUUAUUUUACUUUAUUUUCAUCUUUAUGCUAUACCACAUACUUAUAAAUAGUUGUAUUCUCUUUCACUUUUGUUCAAUCAAAAAUUGUUGAGUUAUUGUA